AGAGUUUGAUCCUGGCUCAGGAUGAACGCUGGCGGCGUGCCUAAUACAUGCAAGUCGAACGCGAGCACUUGUGCUCGAGUGGCGAACGGGUGAGUAAUACAUAAGUAACCUGCCCUAGACAGGGGGAUAACUAUUGGAAACGAUAGCUAAGACCGCAUAGGUACGGACACUGCAUGGUGACCGUAUUAAAAGUGCCUCAAAGCACUGGUAGAGGAUGGACUUAUGGCGCAUUAGCUGGUUGGCGGGGUAACGGCCCACCAAGGCGACGAUGCGUAGCCGACCUGAGAGGGUGACCGGCCACACUGGGACUGAGACACGGCCCAGACUCCUACGGGAGGCAGCAGUAGGGAAUUUUCGGCAAUGGGGGAAACCCUGACCGAGCAACGCCGCGUGAAGGAAGAAGGUUUUCGGAUUGUAAACUUCUGUUAUAAAGGAAGAACGGCGGCUACAGGAAAUGGUAGCCGAGUGACGGUACUUUAUUAGAAAGCCACGGCUAACUACGUGCCAGCAGCCGCGGUAAUACGUAGGUGGCAAGCGUUAUCCGGAAUUAUUGGGCGUAAAGAGGGAGCAGGCGGCAGCAAGGGUCUGUGGUGAAAGCCUGAAGCUUAACUUCAGUAAGCCAUAGAAACCAGGCAGCUAGAGUGCAGGAGAGGAUCGUGGAAUUCCAUGUGUAGCGGUGGAAUGCGUAGAUAUAUGGAGGAACACCAGUGGCGAAGGCGACGAUCUGGCCUGCAACUGACGCUCAGUCCCGAAAGCGUGGGGAGCAAAUAGGAUUAGAUACCCUAGUAGUCCACGCCGUAAACGAU
rnacentral:rRNA from 1 species